rnacentral:rRNA from 1 species
AUUGAACGCUGGCGGCAGGCCUAACACAUGCAAGUCGAGCGGUAGCACAGAGAGCUUGCUCUCGGGUGACGAGCGGCGGACGGGUGAGUAAUGUCUGGGAAACUGCCUGAUGGAGGGGGAUAACUACUGGAAACGGUAGCGAAUACCGCAUAACGUCGCAAGACCAAAGAGGGGGACCUUCGGGCCUCUUGCCAUCAGAUGUGCCCAGAUGGGAUUAGCUAGUAGGUGGGGUAACGGCUCACCUAGGCGACGAUCCCUAGCUGGUCUGAGAGGAUGACCAGCCACACUGGAACUCAGACACGGUCCAGAGUCCUACGGAAGGCAGCAGUGGGUAAUAUUGCACAAUGGGCGCAAGCCUGAUGCAGCCAUGCCGCGUGUAUGAAGAAGGCCUUCGGGUUGUAAAGUACUUUCAGCGGGGAGGAAGGCGAUAAGGUUAAUAACCUUGUCGAUUGACGUUACCCGCAGAAGAAGCACCGGCUAACUCCGUGCCAGCCGCCGCCGUAA